rnacentral:rRNA from 1 species
UACGUAGGUGGCAAGCGUUGUCCGGAAUUAUUGGGCGUAAAGCGCGCGCAGGCGGUCUUUUAAGUCUGAUGUGAAAGCCCACGGCUCAACCGUGGAGGGUCAUUGGAAACUGGGAGACUUGAGUGCAGAAGAGAAGAGUGGAAUUCCACGUGUAGCGGUGAAAUGCGUAGAGGAUGUGGAGGAACACCAGUGGCGAAGGCGACUCUUUGGUCUGUAACUGACGCUGAGGCGCGAAGGCGUGGGGAGCAAACAGGAUAGA